UACCACAUUGUAAGUAGGAAACUCUCUGAGCACCUAGCCCCUAGCAUGGUGUCUAUUCCAGUGUACAAGCUCAAUAAAUACUUGUCAUAGGAAAGAAUGUUUCAUGUCAAUUAAUAGUGGAACCCUUUGCAACAUACUGAGUCCAUAAAACCAUAAAAUCCCAAUUCAGUUGGCUUGGAAAUAGCCUAACUUUUGCUUCAGUGCAGCCUAGGAGGGAGCUUAUGCCACUUAGAAGAAUACAUUUUGACAAAUUUCCUUGCAAAGCCACACAGGAACAACUGUAAUUGCCCAAAGGGCAGACGAAAAUUCCCAGAAAUGAACUCCUCAAAGGCUGUAAAUAUUCCAGCUCCCUCAGUCUUGAGUGGAAUAACCUACAAGGAAUCAAGC
rnacentral:lncRNA from 1 species